rnacentral:misc_RNA from 1 species
GAUGAAGAACGCAGCGAAAUGCGAUAAGUAAUGUGAAUUGCAGAAUUCAGUGAAUCAUCGAAUCUUUGAACGCACAUUGCGCCCCUUGGUAUUCCGGGGGGCAUGCCUGUUCGAGCGUCAUUAUCACCCCUCAAGCUCAGCUUGGUGUUGGGGCCUGCCGUCAAGGCAGCCCUUAAAAUCAGUGGCGGCGCCAUCUGGCUCUAAGCGUAGUAAUACUUCUCGCUACAGGGUCCCAGUGGUGUCUUGCCAGAACCCCUCAUUUUUUAUGAUUGACCUCGGAUCAGGUAGGGAUACCCGCUGAACUUAAGCAUAUCAAUAAGCGGAGGA